rnacentral:rRNA from 1 species
GAUGAACGCUGGCGGCGUGCCUAAUACAUGCAAGUCGAGCGAACAGACGAGGAGCUUGCUCCUCUGACGUUAGCGGCGGACGGGUGAGUAACACGUGGAUCACCUACCUAUAAGACUGGGAUAACUUCGGGAAACCGGAGCUAAUACCGGAUAAUAUAUUGAACCGCAUGGUUCAAUAGUGAAAGACGGUUUUGCUGUCACUUAUAGAUGGAUCCGCGCCGCAUUAGCUAGUUGGUAAGGUAACGGCUUACCAAGGCAACGAUGCGUAGCCGACCUGAGAGGGUGAUCAGCCACACUGGAACUGAGACACGGUCCAGACUCCUACGGGAGGCAGCAGUAGGGAAUCUUCCGCAAUGGGCGAAAGCCUGACGGAGCAACGCCGCGUGAGUGAUGAAGGUCUUCGGAUCGUAAAACUCUGUUAUUAGGGAAGAACAAAUGUGUAAGUAACUAUGCACGUCUUGACGGUACCUAAUCAGAAAGCCACGGCUAACUACGUG